rnacentral:rRNA from 1 species
AGUGAACGCUGGCGGUAGGCCUAACACAUGCAAGUCGAACGGCAGCACAGUAAGAGCUUGCUCUUACGGGUGGCGAGUGGCGGACGGGUGAGGAAUACAUCGGAAUCUACUUUUUUGUGGGGGAUAACGUAGGGGAACUUACGCUAAUACCGCAUACGACCUACGGGUGAAAGCAGGGGAUCUUCGGACCUUGCGCGAUUGAAUGAGCCGAUGUCGGAUUAGCUAGUUGGCGGGGUAAAGGCCCACCAAGGCGACGAUCCGUAGCUGGUCUGAGAGGAUGAUCAGCCACACUGGAACUGAGACACGGUCCAGACUCCUACGGGAGGCAGCAGUGGGGAAUAUUGGACAAUGGGCGCAGGCCUGAUCCAGCCAUACCGCGUGGGUGAAGAAGGCCUUCGGGUUGUAAAGCCCUUUUGUUGGGAAAGAAAAGCAGCAGGUUAAUACCCCGCUGUUCUGACGGUACCCAAAGAAUAAGCACCGGCUAACUUCGU